rnacentral:rRNA from 1 species
UUCUAUAAACGAGAACAAGGACAAAUGUAGUGUGUAAUUUGGUAUUUUUACUUGAAGGAAAAAUUGUAUUUAGGUAGUGUAUAACGAAUAUUAAUUAACAAUAACCGAGAGGGAAUAUAUGAGUUGGAGGGAAGAUGAUAAUUUUACCUUUUGUAUUAGGGAAUAACAAAAUAUUUGCUGUAUAUUUAAAUCUCGAGUGCUGAUGAGCUACUUUUUAUGACUAUUAACGUGUUAAUGUUUUAGAAUAAUUUAGAGUAGAGGUGAUAUGCUUUUCGUAUUGGCGGAUAUCUAGUUAUCUAAUUAUCAUUUUAAUUGACAUUUUUAGACUUAAAGUUUUAUUUAAUUUAAAUUAUGAUUUUGCUAGGGCUAAGCUUUGUAAUUAUAGAUAUUUUAAAUCUAAAUAUCUUAUAGGCUUGGAAGUGGCCAGUAGAUAGUGUGUUAUAACAUGAGUAUUAGGAUUUUUGUGUGUAUUCUUUUUCUAGGAUAAUGGAGAGUAAUAAAUUCUUUAUAAAUAAUGUUAUUAUUAGUAAAAUUAAUUUUUUUAAUUAGGGUGUUUUUAAAGAUCAAAAUAAGGAAUUCAGCAAACAUCAUUUUCAACUGUUUACCAAAAACAUUGUUCUUUGAGUUAAUAUAAAGAAUAAGGUCUGCCCAAUGAUUAUUUUAAUGGCCGCAGUAUCUUGACUGUGCAAAGGUAGCAUAAUCAAUUGUCUUUUAAUUGGAGUCUGGUAUGAAUGAUUUAAUGGGGAUGUACUGUCUUACUUUGAAUCGUUGAAUUUUUAAGGUAGGUGAAGAUACUUAUAUAAUAAUAAAAGACGAGAAGACCCUAUUAAGUUUUACGUUAUGUAAUUAUUUAAUGAAACUUCGUUAUUUAUAUUACGUUUAGUUGGGGCAAUUAUAGAAUAAGAAAAACUUCUUAUAAUGAAAAUAUUUAUUUGUAUAUUGAAAUAUGAUCCAAGGAUUUGAUUAUUAGAAAAAAUUACUUUAGGGAUAACAGCGUAAUGUUUUCUUAGAGUUCUUAUCGAUGAAAAAGUUUGCGACCUCGAUGUUGGAUUAAGAUACCUUUUUAGUGCAGCAGCUAAUUAAGGUAGUCUGUUCGACUAUAAAAUUCUUACAUGAUCUGAGUUCAGACCGGCGUGAGCCAGGUCGGUUUCUAUCUUUAUUAAGAUUAAAUAGAUUUUAGUACGAAAGGAUUAAAUUUAUCAAAAGGUUUGUUCUUAGCAUAUUUAUGUGUUAAAUUUAGAAUUUAAAGAAGGCACUAGUCAGC